UUUCUUCAUCCUGCAUCGAUCCAAAGACGAUCAGAGUAGAGUUUCCCGGCGUGACCACCAUUAGAAGAGCUCUGAUACCAUAUUAGAAUUGGAGGAGAUGAUCGAUAGAGAGAGAGACGAAGGAAGAAGAAGAAGAGUUCUGGAAAAGCUCAAAAUUUCAUUUCAUCCUCAUCCCCUGUUUUAUCCUUACAGUGUUUUUACCGUUUUACUGUACAUAACAGUUUCAACGGUAACAAACGAAAAUCGCCACGUGUUUUACUUAUUAUAUAAACGUUAAAACAAAACGACACAGUCUCAUAACAUAACAUUUCCAAUUUACACUCUUGAUCACUGAACUUUCACUCCAUUACAAAUUGGUCACUCUGUGCAUCUUCCUCCAACGAUAAUAAAUCUUCUUCAUUUCCUUCUCUGGACGAUGCACAGCUCACGUCCUUCUUCUCCUCUUCUGAUAGACAUUAACUUGUUCAUACCAGUCAAAUGUGCAUGGAUGACACAUUCAUAACUUUGUUCGAGAAGUCAUAUAACUUGUUCCCGGUUCAUACCUCAAUAUAACGUUCUUGAUUAAUUUAUGACAAAAAAUAGAUAUCAUGCUUAUCAAAUCAAAACGUCAGUAUCUUAAGAACAAACUAGUAAUAGCAUAGAUAAAAAGCUUAUCAUUGUGAAAAACUAUCAUAUCUAACUACCUAUAUAGGAUAUUGAAAAGCGUUGAUAUGCAUCGCGUGUAUCAACAUGUGCAUGCCAUUAUGAAACUUCUCGAGAUCUUGUUUACUAGCUGUCACGUCCGUAACUUUAUUCUGGAAGGCAUCGACAAGUUGUUCCUAGAUCAUACCAAUAUCACGUUCUUCAUUAGUUCAUGAAAAAAAAAACAAAUUGAUCUUAAUUUACAUUAGAAACCUAACCAAUAUCAUUCACUUACAAUUUUCUCUUAUAUAUCACUCACAUAAUUGUAUAAAAUGACCAUUAUCCAAACCUAAUAUUAAGUUAGAAAAUCCUAUAUUAUUUUCAAGAUCUAAUUAAUAAUGCAGGUUAAGCAUAAAAUAGUCUUAUAUUACUUUUAGGGAUCUUACAUCAUACUAACCAUCGAUUUUUACUAUAUUCAUUCUCCGAUGGCAGUUGAAGCAAAGGCUUUACAAGUAACGAUCGAGUAUGCUUCUCAACAUGACAGUGACUCUGUCACCUACUCAGAUUUCCAAGCCAUAAGAUCGUUUCAUACCACGAAAAAGAAACAGUCGUGUUGAUUGAGUGGCUAAAGAAUUCAUUCACAAUCUCAUCGUCCCUGACUGGAUCCAUAGGACUAACUCUAUUCAUUCCCAAUUGUAACGUUGUUGCCAUGUUCAGUGGCGGAGGCAGAUGGGACCAAGUGGGGUCAUGGACACCCACUUGGAUUUGAGAAUUUGAUCAAAACACACUACUAUAUAGAAGUUAGCAGCCAAACUCAAACACCUGACCUCCCAUAAAUCCACCGACAAGCUUAGCACCAUACUAAACAACACUUCUUGAUAAUAUGUAACAUUCAGUGUUAUUUAAACGUAAAUAAAUGUGUUGACUUCAUACCUGAGUUAGGUAUCAGUCCCACCUACCGAUCAUUAGUACAACGACCUGUCAUAUCACCCAGAUGGCCUGAUCAGAUGUUUCGGUACCAAUGCAGUUAGUCUCAUGCAUUCUGGACUGGAUAUGGCCCACCUAUCUUUCGAGGUCACUAGUUUACACUUUCACCAACCUUUCUCAUAUCCGUUUUUAUGAGCAAGGGAUAAAGGCCAUACAGUAAUCAAGCUAAUGACAAUUGGAUAGUACCCCUUCCAUCGGAGGAUAUACUGGGUGGAGAGUGACAAAUAUGAGAAAAGCCUACUUACUAGCCUUCGUGAUAGGAUACCACUUAGGCGGAUGCUAGGGAUUGGUGAGUUAGGGCAGCGAGGGAUGGUAGGCAGUAUUGGUAAUAUCGUAUAGAAAUAGAAGAUCCACGCCUUUCGACUCCCAUGUCUUUCUUGGUUUCAACCCAAGCGGUCAUUUCCUUCUUCCUGAAUUGGGAGAGCAAUAAACAUAUCUUUCUUGGUUUCAACCCAAGUCAUUUCCUUCUUCCUGAAUUGGGAGAGCAAUAAUCUGUCUCCCUUUUUUCGGGGGGAGCAGAGCAGUCAAAGAAGGAAGGAAAGCAAAUGCAUUAUUGGUUAAAUAAGUGGAAUUCCGCCCAUGACUUAAUAUAUGGCGAUUUUCGGGUUAACGAAUGGUUAUUCCUCACAAUUGCUCCUUGUGAUGCAGCGGAACCAUGGCAAUUAGGAUCUCAAGACGCAGCAACACCUAUGAUGCAAGGAAUAAUGGACUUACAUCACGAUAUCUUUUUCUUCCUCAUUCUUAUUUUGGUUUUUGUAUUACAGAUCUUGGUUCGCGCUUUAUGGCAUUUCCACUAUAAAAAAAAUCCAAUCCCGCAAAGGAUUGUUCAUGGAACUACUAUCAAGAUUCUUCGGACCAUAUUUCUGAGUAUCAUCCCUAUGUUCAUUGCUAUACCAUCAUUUGCUCUCUUAUACUCUGAACCCAGGUUCUAGAACAACCCAGUUCGUCAUUCAUUAGUUCCUCUUCUUGAAAUCGAU
rnacentral:lncRNA from 1 species